UACGGAGGGGGCAAGCGUUGUCCGGACUUACUGGGCGUAAAGGGUGCGUAGGCGGCCUGCUGCGUCGGUGCUGAAAGCGCCCGGCUUAACCGGGCGAGGCGUGCCGAUACGAGCGGGCUGGAGCCUUGGCGAGGGUGGCGGAACUCCUGGUGUAGUGGUGAAAUGCGUAGAUAUCUGGAGGAACACCGGUGGCGAAGGCGACAUCCUGGACCGGCAUUGACGCUGAGGCGCGAAAGCCAGGGGAGCAAACGGG
rnacentral:rRNA from 1 species